UACGGGGGGGGCAAGCGUUGUUCGGAAUUACUGGGCGUAAAGGGCUCGUAGGUGGCCAACUAAGUCAGACGUGAAAUCCCUCGGCUUAACCGGGGAACUGCGCAUGAUACUGGAUGGCUUGAGUUUGGGAGAGGGAUGCGGAAUUCCAGGUGUAGCGGUGAAAUGCGUAGAUAUCGGGAGGAACACCAGUGGCGAAGGCGACUACCUGGCCUGUUCUUGACGCUGAGGCGCGAAAGCUAGGGGAGCAAACGGG
rnacentral:rRNA from 1 species